UCUUGGUCUCGCUGAGGAGUCCAUCCACUGCCACCUCCACAUAGGAGUUGAUUCUGGGCUGGCGGUUGUGCACCUUGGGCUUUGCUGACACCACUGGAUGAGACAGAAAGAAAAGACCCUGUGACGGAGAGCAUAAAGACAACAGCACUCGUGGCUGCAGAACCAACAGCGUCUUGACUUUUGCACCUUCAAUGCAAGUGUGACCACAGUGAAACCUGAGUGACAGGAUCUUCAGACAAGAGCCAGCAUACCUGUAAUCCCUGGCACCCAGGAAGCUAAGGCAGAAGGAGUACAGCAUAAAUUCUAGAAAGUCUGAGCAUUGAGCAAGUGUGAGACCUGCCCCCAACCCCAAAAAAGGAGUGCUAAGAUUACAGUUCUUUGCAGAUGGGGAUGUAGUCAUUAAAUGAAAGACGAAGAUGACCCAGGUGGUACUGGCCUCAAAUCCUAACUACUGUGAAGUCGGAGGCACAAGGAUCACAAGUUCAAGGCUUGCCUGAGCUACAGGAGUUUGAGGCCACCCCAGGCAACUUACUGAGAUCCUGUCUAAAAAGCAAAAGAAUAAAAAUUACAAAAAGAAGGGAAGUGGGAAGGUGCAAUGUUCAACAAAAAAAGUAAAAGACUGACAAGCCAA